CAAAGACAUCGAAUCUUACGUUUGAAUGGAGCCCCUGAACUUGUCCAGAUCAUUGAUGCUACGCCCAGUGGGAUUUUUUUCGGUCCCACCUUCCCACCCUCUUUGCUCAUUCACUCACAACCCAUUUUAAGGAGAUGUUGCACGUUCAUUUGUUAAGUCGGUAUUUAUUGAUGCCCCCGUGUGUGAGGCAGUGCACCGGCGCUAAACCCAUUCCUGUCUUUCGUUAGCCUAAGUCCGGUGGGGGUGGGUAGCACAGGCUAAGCACACAGAAAACCGCAUUACAACGCCAGAGGCAGCCAAGCACCAGAGAGGCAGGACCGUGUGUUUUAGACACUCAUCGGAGGAGCAGAUCAUUUCCAUCCAUCCGACGUCCCAAGGAGGCACAUCUCUGACCAUAUCAUUCCCUGCUUAAAGUUUUGCAGUGGCUCUCAGUUGCUUAUAGCAUAAAAUCCAACCUCCUGAGCCUGGCAGCCAACCUUCGAUUCUUUUCCACACCUCUUCCAGCUCUUCUUCAUGGUGUCUCUGCCCUGGUGAACCUAACUGCUGCCUGCCUCCCCCCACCCCCCACCCCUGACAGCCCUGGGGAUUUCACAGCAAGCCCUGGACUUUGCCCCUCUGCUUGAUAUGCUUUCCCCUCCCAGCUCUAAAGCCUGCAGUGUGGCCACCUCCCCCAUAAAGUCUGCCCAGAUUGCCCCCAGCCAGCAGGAGUCACUCCUUCUUGUGCACGCCCCUUGCACUGACCUCUGUGACUCUCUUAACACAGCUUGUCUGCUUCAGGUUAUUUGUGGAUACAUCCAUUUUCCCUCUGCUGGAUCAAUCGAAACCUCCUUGAGGGUUUGUUUAUUUGCACAUGCUCAGCAUCUACCAAAGCGUCAGAGCAGCCCCCUGAUAAACAGCUGUGGGAGGGGGUUGGGGGCAGCUUUUGGUUGGAGGAUCAGCAGAGAUUCAUGGUAGAGGUAAGCUGACAGGAUGCGGAAAAGGGGAGGGGAGGUCUCAACAGGGGGCCUGGGAAGACCCAGGGCUUUUGGAGGGAAGAUAACAGAGCAAAUCAGAGUUCAAGUCCAGGGACCAUUUGAGGAGCUGCAAGUCAGGUGACUUCUCUCUACCUCUUUUGCAUCGUGGGCUCCCUUUGAUUAAUGCGCCAGACCCUCUCCCCAGAAAGUGCACAUUCCCACAGCAUUUCACAGAGGAUCCUUGGACCCCUUAGGGGUAAAGAAACCCCAAAGCAAAAAAACAAAAAAACAAUAAACAAUGGACUAGGAAGGAAGAUGACAGCCAUGUUGUGAAGAGUUUCUGGAUCACAGUGAGCGUUGUAUUUACUUCAACAGGUAAUCAGGAGCAGUCAGUUUGUUUUUCAACUUUCUUUUGAGGUAAAUAUUUUGCAGCCACUUACCCAAAUCCUAACUAUAAUGAUUUUUUUUUCACAAGCUAAGCACACACGAGUAGCCAGCACUUGUACAAGUCCCCUCGUGUCCCCUUUGCCACCUUCCCUUCGAGCGUAACCACAAGGCUGGCAUCUGACAGCACGGAUAAGUUUCACCUCUUUUUAUGCUUAAUGGACUCCCGUGGUACGAACUUCUUUUUACUCUUUGUGACUGGCUUCUCUCACUCCACAUUCUAUUUGUGAGAUUCAUCCACAUAGUUGCAUGUAUUUGAAGCUUUGUCAUUUGCUAUGGAAUAUUCCACUGAGUGAGUUGUUAAUCUCCUGCUUGGGUCAUUUGGGCAGUUUCCAUUUGGGGGCUGCUGUGGGCAUUCGAGCGCAUAUCUUUCAGUGGAUAUGUAUACACAUUUCUGUUGGGCACACAUCUGGAGCCAGAAUGGCAAUAUGUAGCUAUUCUGCCCACGUGAAUAUUGCAGUAUUUUGUAUUUUCCUUGCCCGGUUGAUGAUUCUUGAGGGGCAUCAUAAGGUUAGAGCUGAAAGCGUUCCCACUGAGGCUCAGUGGUAACAAACCCAACUAGGAUCCAUGAGGACUAGUAUCCAUGAGCAAUCCCUGGCCUCGCUCUGGGUUAAGGAUCCAGUGUUGCCAUGAGCUGGAUCACAGAUGAGGGGUGGGUCACAGAUGUGGCUCUGAUCUGGUGUUACUGUGGCUGUGGCGUAGGCCACCAGCUACAGCUCCGAUUCGACCCCUAGCCUGGGACCUUCCAUAUGCCGCAGGUGCAGCCCUAAAAAUAAACAAAUAAAUAUUUUUAAAAAGAUUAGAGCUGAAUUUUUAGACAAAUUUAUCUGGCAGUGGUAUCUGAGGGCUUGGAGCCGGGUUUCAAAUUGUGUUUUCCAGGAGCUCUGAGAAUCUGCAGGGGCCCCUUAGGGGCUGCCCCUGGGGAGAGAGGAGGGAGGCUGCACGAGUGGCAGUACCCUGGGCUCCUUCCCAGCGCCCCCUCCAGUAGAGCCGGCAUGCUCAUAUCUGUUUAAUUAGCUUUUGCCAUUAUCUAGGAUUACUGGUCCAUGGCCAGUAGGCUGACAAGUUGACAGCUGUUGAGGGAGAGCUCAGGGAAACCAAGAAAACCAGGGCAGUUGAAGUUAUCUCCAAAGGCCUAUCAGGGGAGGGCCUAGGGGUUGAUAGCAGCAGCACCAGAUGGGAAGGUGCAGGUGGGCAAAUACAGCUGUAGGACUGGUCACCUCUUUGGAUGUCAGGGAGCAAGGAGGUGGUCUCAGAAACAGGACUAAAGCUUUGCAUCUAGGCAGCCAUAAUGAAGGCUGCUUUAUUAGCAGAGAGCUUGAGAAGCCAAGUCCAGAGAAGGGCCUCCUGGGCCAAGUUUAAGGAGCAGGCAGGCUUCGUGGAUGAGGAGGUCCUGCAGACAGCUGCAGGCCCAGGCACAGAUGUAAGCAUCCCCUGUAAGGAGUUCCUAUUGUGGCUCAACGGGUUAAGAACCCAACUAAUAUCCAUAAGGUUUCCAGUUUGAUCCCUGGCCUUGCUCAGAGGGUUGAGGAUCCCGCGUUGCCUCGAGCUGAGGUGCAGGUUGAAGAUGCGGCUCGGAUCUGGCCUUGCUAUGGCUGUGGUGUAGGCUGGCAGCUGCAUUUUGGCUUUGACCCCUAGCCUGGGAAUUUCCAUAUGCUG
rnacentral:lncRNA from 1 species